rnacentral:hammerhead_ribozyme from 1 species
UUCUAGCUGGGGAGUCUCAAAUAGGAUGAAACGCGUGUCUUGGAU